AAUAUUGCACAAUGGGCGAAAGCCUGAUGCAGCAACGCCGCGUGAACGAAGAAGGCCUUUGGGUCGUAAAGUUCUGUCCAAGAGGAAGAUAAUGACGGUACUCUUGGAGGAAGCCACGGCUAACUACGUGCCAGUAGCCGCGGUAACACGUAGGGGGCAAGCGUUAUACGGAAUUAUUGGGCGUAAAGGGUGCGUAGGCGGCUUCUUAAGCGUGGGGUGAAAUGCAAUAGCUCAACUAUUGUAAGCCUUGCGAACUGGGGAGCUUGAGUGCAGGAGAGGAAAGCGGAAUUCCUAGUGUAGCGGUGAAAUGCGUAGAUAUUAGGAGGAACACCAGUGGCGAAGGCGGCUUUCUGGACUGUAACUGACGCUGAGGCACGAAAGCGCGGGUAGCGAAC
rnacentral:rRNA from 1 species